GAGAGUGUAGCUCAGUGGCAGAGCGCAUGCUUAGCACGCACGAGGUCCUGGGUUCAAGUCCUAGCAGAAUUC
rnacentral:tRNA from 1 species